GUACAGAAGUGGCAUUCAGCCUUUGACAAGCGAAGAGCUACUUUGUCAUCAAACAGAGGCUCACAAAACCAUGAAAGAAUGAACUGAAUUUAAAAUGGAGAAAUGUGCACAGGCAGUUUAUGCGAGAGUUAAUACACUGCUCCAAACAAGUCAGCAAAAUCCACAGCCAGGAACAGUGGUUUUCGGAGCACAGCCAAAGACCUGGACUCAUUGGCUAUCCGUCACCUGUCGCAGAAGACCAGCUCUGUGUGUUUUUACAUUGGCACAGCUGUCCUGGAUGCAGCUUGCAGCCAGGACUGCAUUUGUACACAGCCAAAGUGGAUCUCAAGCAUUCCUGCGCCUCUAGCAGUUUGACCUCCACCCACAGCAGAU
ensembl:lncRNA